GGCUGGUUAGUUCAGUCAGGUAGAGCGUGGUGCUGAUAACACCAAGGUCGUGGGUUUGUUCCCCGUUUGGUCCC
rnacentral:tRNA from 1 species